UCCGUUUUUCUACAGAUUUUUAUACGACCGCAAAAAUUUUUAAUUUUUUGGUCGUAUAUUGGUAUGACGUUGGCGUCGUCGUCGUCGUCGUCAUCGUCCGGCGUCGUCCGAAGACACAUUGGUUUUCGCACUCUAACUUUAGUUUAAGUGAAUGGAUCUCCAUGAAAUUUCACCAUAAGGUUCAAUACCACGAAAGGAAGGUUGGGAUUGAUUUUGGGGGUUAUGGUACCAACAGUUAAGGAAUUAGGGGCCAAAAAUAAGCAUUUUUGUAACUUUCAGACAAUAACUUGUGUGUAAGUGUAUGGAUCUCUCUGACAUUGUACCACAAGGUUCCAUAUCACAAAGAGAAGGCUGUAAUUGAUUUUGGGGGUAAUUGCCUCAAAAUUUUAGGAAUUAGGGGCCAAAAAAGGGGCAAAAAACAAGCAUUUUUCUAGUUUCAUGACAAUAACUUGUGUGUAAGUGUUUGGAUAUUUCUGAAAUUGUACUACAAGGUUCCAUAUCACAAAGGGAAAGCUGGAAUUGAGUUUGGGGGUAAUUGCCCGAAACGUUUAGGAAUUGGGGGCCAAAAAGGGGCCAAAAAUAAGCAUUUUUCUAGUUUCCAGACAAUAACUUGUGUUCAAGUGUAUGGAUCUCUCUGAAAUUGUACUGCAAGGUACCAUACCACAAAGGGAAGGCUGGGAUUGAGUUUGGGGGUGAUGAAUCAUAAGGGGGUUCAAAAAAUUUGGGGGGGGGAUUUUUUUUUUUUUUUUUUUCUUUUUUUCCUUUUUUUUUCUUUUAAAAUUUUCCAUUUUAAGUUGGUUAUUUCUGAUUUAUAUUUAAAAGCAAAUAAUAAUGAUAGGGUAGGAGAUACACACCAAACAGGAUGUGUAAAUUAUUAUAUAAUAAGUAUUGUGCAAUAGCAAGAAAUUUUCAAUUGCACAGUAUUGCACAAUAGCAAGAAAUCUUCAAUUGCACAGUAUUGCGCAAUAGCAAGAAAUCUUCAAUUGCACAGUAUUGCGCAAUAGCAAGAAAUAUCCAAUAGCACAAUAUUGCGCAAUAGCAAGAAAUUGCCAAUUGUACAGUAUUGCGCAAUAGCAAGAAAUAUUCAAUUGCACAGUAUUGUGCAAAAGAAGAUACUUCGUAUAAAUUGCUUAUUUCUUGAUCAAUUUCAAUGGGGUUUUAUUCUUGAAUUCUUGGGGUUCUUUAAUAUGCUGAAUCUAACCGUGUAUUAAGUUUUUGGAUUUUGGGCCCCGUUUUUAAAUUGGUCCACAUUGAGGUCCAAAGGGUCCAAAAUUUAACUUUGUUUGAUUUCAUCAAAAAUUGAAUUAUUGGGGUUCUUUGAUAUGCCAAAUCUAACCGUGUAAUAAGAUUUUUAAUUUUGGGUCCCGUUUUUUAAAUUGGUCUACAUUAAGGUCCAAAGGGUCCAAAAUUAAACUUAGUUUGAUUUUAACAAAAAUUGAAUUUUUGGGGUUCUUUGAUAUGCUGAAUCUAAACAUGUGUUUAGAUUUUUGAUUAUGGGACCAGUUUUCAAGUUGGUCCAAGUUGGGGUCCAAAAUUAAACUUUGUUUGAUUUCAACAAAAAUUGAAUUUUUGGGGUACUUUGAUAUGCUGAUUCUAAACAUGUGUUUAGAUUUUUGAUUAUGGGACCAGUUUUCAAGUUUGUCCAAGUUGGGGUCCAAAAUUAAACUUUGUUUGAUUUCAACAAAAAUUGAAUAUAUAUGGGGUUCUUUGAUAUGCUGAAUCUAACCAUGUAUUUUGAUUUUGGACAUUGGACCAUAAUAGGUAAAUUAAAAAAAUUGAAGUUCUUAGACCACAUUCUUUCUGUGUCAGAAACCUAUGCUGUGUCAAAUAUUUAAUCACAAUCCAAAUUCAGAGCUGUAUCAAGCUUGAAUGUUGUGUCCAUACUUGCCCCAACUGUUCAGGGUUCGACCUCUGCGGUCGUAUCAAGCUGCGCCCAGCGAAGCAUUUUAUUUUUUUUAUA